CGACUUUCGAGUCCCAAAUCGAGAGAGAAUAGAGGAGAGAUGGGAACCUCGAUAGAAGCACAAAGAACAGAGAGAUGGGAACCACCUUAUCCGGAUUUGCUUAUCAUUCCCAACAACUAGAGGAAUCAAGGAGAGCUAGGGUUUGGACCACGACCUGCUCUAUAAUUCUCGGAGAUAGGACCGGAUUUGGGCAAAUUGGUGGUCAGCCGCCACGAAUUCGAGAAAAAG
rnacentral:lncRNA from 1 species